rnacentral:rRNA from 1 species
UACGUAGGGGGCAAGCGUUGUCCGGAUUUAUUGGGCGUAAAGAGCGUGUAGGCGGCCAUACAGGUCCGUUGUGAAAACUCGGAGGCUUAAACCUCGAGACGUCGAUGGAAACCGUAUGGCUAGAGUCCGGAAGAGGAGAGUGGAAUUCCUGGUGUAGCGGUGAAAUGCGCAGAUAUCAGGAAGAACACCCGUGGCGAAGGCGGCUCUCUGGGACGGUACUGACGCUGAGACGCGAAAGCGUGGGGAGCGAACAGG